GCCAGUGGAGAGAGGGGGCCCUUGCUUGCAGGCUGGAGCAGCCUGUCUUUGGAAGACUGCACCCCAUGGAAGAGUGACCCAAGCCACAGUAGUUUGGGGAGGACUGUGUGCCCAUGGGAAGGACUCACACUGCGGCAGUUUAGGGAGAACUGCUGCUCAUGAGGUUUGCAGCCAUGCUGGAGAAGUUCACGGAGAACUGUUUCCUGUGGGAGGGGCUCCACAGUCCCACAGGGGAAGGACUCCUCUCCUUCAGCAGCAGAAGAAAGCCUUGGAUGAUGCGCUGACCAAAUCCCCAUCUGCUGUCUCCCUGUGCUGUUGUUUUGAGCUGCAAGUGUGCAAAUCUGCUGAAUGGACUCUCACAUGAUUUUGUGUUGCUGCUGAUGCUCAUCCUUACGCUGCCAUAAACUUGGAGAAGGCGACUCUGCUAUCUUCCAUGUGAUGUGAGCGCUGCUUGGCUGUGCUCGCCAGAGUUUUACAGGUUGAAACAAAUACAG